CCUACGGGAGGCUGCAGUCGAGAAUCAUUCACAAUGGGGGAAACCCUGAUGGUGCGACGCCGCGUGGGGGAAUGAAGGUCUUCGGAUUGUAAACCCCUGUCAUGUGGGAGCAAAUUAAAAAGAUAGUACCACAAGAGGAAGAGAAGGCUAACUCUGUGCCAGCAGCCGCGGUAAUACAGAGGUCUCAAGCGUUGUUCGGAAUCACUGGGCGUAGAGCGUGCGUAGGCGGGUUAGUAAGGUGUGUGUGAAAGGCGAGGGCUCAACCCUCGGACGGCAACUGAUACUGCUAGACUAGAGUAAUGGAGGGGGAGGCGGAAUUCUCGGUGUAGGAGUGAAAUGCGUAGAUAUCGAGAGGAAUACUCGUGGCGAAGGCGGGUUCCUGGACAUUAACUGACGCUGAGGCACGAAGGCCAGGGGAGCGAAAGGGAUUAGAUACCCCUGUAGUC
rnacentral:rRNA from 1 species